rnacentral:tRNA from 1 species
GGAAGCGUGCUCGAAAGAUAGAGGUUACUUUGAUAGGGUAAUUUAUAGAGGUUCAAACCCUCUCACCUCCU